UCCUGGACUAUUUGGAAUCCUGUAAGACUCCAUGUGGUAGGUAACCACACUUUAGGCCAUAAAUGAUGUGUGUAUUGUAUUAGCUAUAAAUUUUGGUAAUACACCAAAUAUAUCUUCUUUCCCUGCUGAUCCUGUAAUGUUUGUUUGUUUCUGGCCUAGCAUUCACUCUGUAGGCCAGGCUAGUCUUAGACUCAGAGAUAUGGCUACCACUACCUCUCAAGCCCUGGGAUUAAAGGCAUGCACCACCAAACCCUAAACAUCUCCACCAUACUGUUUUAGACUACAUUUGAUGUUAAAAUUGUCUUUAGCUGAGUUUUAUUUAUAUAUUACUUGCAAUGCUGGGUAUUGAACCCAGGGCCUCAUGUAGUCUAGGUUAGUGCUCUACCACCCAACUAUAGCCUCAUCUCGUUUGGACUGAACCAUAACCUGAUAAGACUCAUUAAAUAAUGCAUCCAAUUCUCUUCAGGUUUUCUCCAAUGUUUACCAGAUUCCUUCAGAAUGAUGCUAAAGUUACUCUUGGUCAAAAUUACAUUUGGAGUAUAAUUGUAACGUUUAAACAUAUAAUUUCAGGAGAAUAGGGACACACCUGUAGGCAGUGUUGACAGAUUUAUUUAGGAUUUGAUUUAUUUAGUAAAUGCUGAGCACGGUGAUAGAAAAGGCCUUCGUGACCUAUUGUGACUGCAGGAGAGGGAGGCCACAGUGCCAGAAGAAGGUAAAUCCGAGUAAGUAGCCUGAGGGCAAAUGGCAGUGCUCUACUUAAAACACAGUCUGACCUAGGGGAUGUUACAGUUUCUUAAAUGAACAGUUGUGGCAAGCACCCCUCUCACUGUGGGCUGAAUGUAACUUUCAAAACAAAAACACAAACAAAACAAAAAAACCAACAAGCAAGAUCAACAACAGCAGCAACAACACACCGGGACAAACAAGGUGUCUGAGUUCUGAGGAUUCAGGACACGCCUGUGUUUGCUGGAUGGGGGGUGGUACAAUUUUUCUGAGCUAACUCCCCAAUGUCUGCCUUUGGAAAUGAAGACAGUCUUUCACUCAUCGAUUUCACAUUGAUGGAUUUAUCUUAUAGAAACCCUUCUUCAAGUUUUCAUCAAAGAAUUUCAUAGAAGUAAGCCAUUUGUCGAAAACAGUAAAUUUUGCAGCUGCUUAUCCAUUUAAUCUGCAUAGAAACAUGUACACAGUCUUGUGUUGUAUAAUGUUACUUGGAUCAAUGGUCAAAGAUGGCCGUUCCAUAUGAUUAUGACACCUAGUGACACCAGAGUCAUCUUGUAUUGUGCAAGCAUACUCUAUGAUGUUCACACAAUGACCAAAUUAUGGACCUAUUUCUCAAACCAAAUCCCUGUCAUUAAGGGACAUGCUUGUAUAUUUUUUUCCAGCAUUUCAUUUGAAAUAUUCUCCAUCUGUUGGCCAGACUGGGUUCAAACUCUAGGGCUCAAGUGAUCAUCCUGUCUCAAUCUCACAGGUGCUGGGACUAUAGGUACAUGUCUUUGUGUGAAUUAAUAAAACGAUAGAGAUUGGAGUUCUACGGAGGAGCUAACAGUUACUGCUCGGCAGGAAGGAAAUAGUCAUUAAUUCUUUUGUAUCUUCUUUUUAAAAAAACAUAUAUUUUUAUCUUUGCAAGUGAGUCCAUUAACUUAGGCUUUCUUUCUUCCUUUCUUCCUUCCUUCCUUCCUUCCUUUCUUUCUUUCUUUCUUUCUUUCUUUCUUUCUUUCUUUCUUUCUUUCUUUCUUUCUUUCUUUCUUUCUUUCGUCUUUCUCUUUUAUUUUUAUUAUUUAUUUGUUUGUUUGUUUGUUUGUUUGUUUGUUUGAGACGGGAUCUCUAUAGCUCUGGCUAGCCUGGAACUCAUUAUGUAGGCCAGGCUGACCUUGAUCUGCCUGUUUCUCCUGCAGGUUCAGAUGCUACAGCACUUGAUCUGGGCUUUUUUAUAUACACAAGUCUUGGAACACAGAAUGGGUCAGAACAAAUGAGAAAUCAGUAAGCUGCCAUUGAGUACAGAGAGAUCCUAAAUCAAUGAACAGCACCUAACAGUUACCUGGAACUGUUGUUACUAAGUGUCUGGCGACACAUAACCACUCAAGUAAUUGUCUUGUAAUUGUGUGUGUGUGUGUGUGUGUGUGUGUGUGAGCGCGUGCUCCAGUCACACUCUCACAGAGUGUCUGAUCCCCUGGAGCUAGAGUUAAGAGGUCGGUUGUGAGCUGCCCAACUCAGUGCUGGGAACUGAACUCUGGUCUUCUGGAAAAGCAGCAAGCCCUCUUUGGUUCGUUUGUUUGGUUUGGUUUGGUUCGGUUCGGUUCGGUUCGGUUCGGUUGGUUUGGUUUGGUUUGGUUUGGUUUGGUUGGUUUGGUUUGGUUUGGUUUGGUUUGGUUUGGUUUUUCGAGAAAGGGUUUCUCUGUGUAGCCCUGGCUGUCCUGAAACUCUCUCUGUACACCAGGCUGGCCUCGAAUUCAGAAAUCUGCCUAUCUCUACCUCCCAAGUGCUGGGAUUAAAGGCAUGCGCCACCACUGCCCGGCGCAGCAAGCCCUCUUAACUGGUGAGCCAUCUCUCCAGCCCCAUCUUCUCUGUUUUAAAACAUAUUCAUUCUUUCAACUCUAAAAGUCUCAAGACCAGACCCUCAAAUCGUCCAUCAGGAAUUUUCUGAACUGAUACAAGGACUAUAGCAAGCUAGUUAAGCACCUUUCCUAAGCAAUCUAUUAAGAAAAAAAAUUCCUCAGUGGAAUUUUUAGCAUGUUUUCCAUUUAAGGGACCACACAGUUUGUCCCUUCCCCUACAACAGAGGUGUUUGUGGCUUUUCAAAAGCAUGUAAGCUGGGUUUUCUGAGCACCAACAAAGAAAAAGUAACUUCCAAAGAAAGGUGGUUAUAACUGUUUCAGUCAUAACCGAGCAUGUGUCUCCUGAAUAAUACUUGAAAUUAGACCGCUCUGACCCAGUUACAGGCAAGGAUUAAAGAAAUCUGCUUAAAAUUGAAUUGUGUCCACUAGAGCAACAGCCAAGAGAAGUGCAUUCCACAGUGUGUCCUUCAGAGAACCUCUGGCAAGCCUCGCUGCAAACCUUUGAUUUCUUUUCUACUUUUAAACUCUGGAUGGAUGUAAAUAUAACCCACACCCAUUCCCAGCCGUUAGUUUAGGCUUUCAUUUUUGCUGGACAGCGUGAGCAGUCAUGCAGGACUUCAUUAGCUGUAUCUAUAUCUCAAAGUAAAAGUUACAUGUUGUGUAGUUUAUUAUACAGUGUUUGCACAC
rnacentral:lncRNA from 1 species